CAGGCCUAACACAUGCAAGUCGAGCGGCAGCGGGAAAGUAGCUUGCUACUUUUGCCGGCGAGCGGCGGACGGGUGAGUAAUGCCUGGGGAUCUGCCCAGUCGAGGGGGAUAACUACUGGAAACGACUGCUAAUACCGCAUACGCCCUACGGGGGAAAGCAGGGGACCUUCGGGCCUUGCGCGAUUGGAUGAACCCAGGUGGGAUUAGCUAGUUGGUGAGGUAAUGGCUCACCAAGGCGACGAUCCCUAGCUGGUCUGAGAGGAUGAUCAGCCACACUGGAACUGAGACACGGUCCAGACUCCUACGGGAGGCAGCAGUGGGGAAUAUUGCACAAUGGGGGAAACCCUGAUGCAGCCAUGCCGCGUGUGUGAAGAAGGCCUUCGGGUUGUAAAGCACUUUCAGCGAGGAGGAAAGGUUGGUAGCUAAUAACUGCCAGCUGUGACGUUACUCGCAGAAGAAGCACCGGCUAACUCCGUGCCAGC
rnacentral:rRNA from 1 species